rnacentral:misc_RNA from 1 species
GUAACGGCGAGUGAAGCGGCAACAGCUCAAAUUUGAAAUCUGGCUCCUUCGGGGCCCGAGUUGUAAUUUGCAGAGGAUGCUUCUGGUACGGGUUCCUUCCGAGUUCCCUGGAACGGGACGCCAUAGAGGGUGAGAGCCCCGUCUGGUAGGACACCCAGCCCGUGUGAAGCUCCCUCGACGAGUCGAGUAGUUUGGGAAUGCUGCUCUAACGGGAGGUAUACUCCUUCCAAGGCUAAAUACCGGCUGGAGACCGAUAGCGCACAAGUAGAGUGAUCGAAAGAUGAAAAGCACUUUGAAAAGAGAGUCAAAUAGCACGUGAAAUUGUUGAAAGGGAAGCGCUCGCUACCAGACAUGGGUUCGGCGGUUCAACCGGGGCCACGCCCCGGGGCACUCCGCCGGCCCAGGCCAGCAUCAGCUUUCCGUCGGGGGCAAAGACGUCGGGAAUGUGGCUCCCCUCCGGGGGAGUGUUAUAGCCCGGCGUGUCAUACCCUUCGGGGGGCUGAGGUACGCGCUUCUGCAAGGAUGCUGGCGUAAUGGUAGCUAGUGACCCGUCUUGAAACACGGACCAAGGAGUCAACCUUAUGUGCGAGUGCCCGGGCGUAAAACCCCAGCGCGGAAUGAAAGUGAACGUAGGUGAGAGCUUCGGCGCAUCACCGACCGAUCCUGAUGUCCUCGGACGGAUUUGAGUGAGAGCAUAUAGGGUUGGACCCGAAAGAAGAUGAACUAUGCGUGUGUAGGGUGAAGCCAGAGGAAACUCUGGUGGAGGCUCGCAGCGGUUCUGACGUGCAAAUCG